AUUGAACGCUGGCGGCAUGCCUUACACAUGCAAGUCGAACGGCAGCACGGGAGCAAUCCUGGUGGCGAGUGGCGAACGGGUGAGUAAUAUAUCGGAACGUGCCCAGUCGUGGGGAUAACGUAGCGAAAGCUACGCUAAUACCGCAUACGAUCUAUGGAUGAAAGCGGGGGAUCGCAAGACCUCGCGCGAUUGGAGCGGCCGAUAUCAGAUUAGGUAGUUGGUGAGGUAAAGGCUCACCAAGCCGACGAUCUGUAGCUGGUCUGAGAGGACGACCAGCCACACUGGGACUGAGACACGGCCCAGACUCCUACGGGAGGCAGCAGUGGGGGAAUUUUGGACAAUGGGCGCAAGCCUGAUCCAGCAACUGCCGCGUGCAGGAUGAAGGCCUUC
rnacentral:rRNA from 1 species